rnacentral:rRNA from 1 species
UACGUAGGCGGAAAAUUAAGUCAGUAGUGAAAUCCCGCAGCUUAACUGUGGAACUGUUAUUGAUACUGGUUUUCUUGAAUAUAGUUGAGGUAGGCGGAAUGUGUAAUGUAGCGGUGAAAUGCUUAGAUAUUACACAGAACACCGAUUGCGAAGGCAGCUUACUAAGCUAUGAUUGACGCUGAGGUAUGAAAGCGUGGGGAGCGAACAGGAUUAGAUACCCUGGUAGUCC